UAUGACGUCAUUCUCGUGGCGGUGACGUCGUUCGCGUCACUCUCCCGGGCUGGCUGGAGGCGGGCCCGCGGCCUGGCGUCGGGGAGUGAGAUGCAGCUGAAAUGUUGCUCUUAGCAACAGCCAGACCACUUGAGGCGAAUUCAGCCGUUUCCCCAGGCAACCUCAACAACAAACUUCUGGGACGAUCCCUGUGGGUGGGAGGCCCUGCUGGGUGGAAAUUGAGGGGUGCAAAAAGCCAGCAAUGACCAAGUGUGGUGCCUGCGAGCCAUGGGUGUUGACCAGAAGAAAAGGAAGG